rnacentral:rRNA from 1 species
AACGAAGUGCCUUGGACAGAUUCUUCGGAUGAAGUCCUUAGUGACUGAGUGGCGGACGGGUGAGUAACGCGUGGGUAACCUGCCUCAUACAGGGGGAUAACAGUUAGAAAUGGCUGCUAAUACCGCAUAAGCGCACGGUACUGCAUGGUACAGUGUGAAAAACUCCGGUGGUAUGAGAUGGACCCGCGUUGGAUUAGCUAGUUGGCAGGGUAACGGCCUACCAAGGCGACGAUCCAUAGCCGGCCUGAGAGGGUGGACGGCCACAUUGGGACUGAGACACGGCCCAGACUCCUACGGGAGGCAGCAGUGGGGAAUAUUGCACAAUGGGGGAAACCCUGAUGCAGCGACGCCGCGUGAGCGAAGAAGUAUUUCGGUAUGUAAAGCUCUAUCAGCAGGGAAGAAAAUGACGGUACCUGACUAAGAAGCCCCGGCUAACUACGUGCCAGCAGCCGCGGUAAUACGUAGGGGGCAAGCGUUAUCCGGAUUUACUGGGUGUAAAGGGAGCGUAGACGGAAUGGC